UACGUAGGGCGCAAGCGUUGUCCGGAAUUAUUGGGCGUAAAGAGCUCGUAGGCGGUGUGUCGCGUCGGCCGUGAAACCCAGGGCUUAACCCUGGGCUUGCAGUGGAUACGGGUAGACUAGAGGCAGGUAGGGGAGAAUGGAAUUCCCGGUGUAGCGGUGAAAUGCGCAGAUAUCGGGAGGAACACCGGUGGCGAAGGCGGUUCUCUGGGCCUGACCUGACGCUGAGGAGCGAAAGCGUGGGGAGCGAACAGG
rnacentral:rRNA from 1 species